GGUUAAGCGACUAAGCGUACACGGUGGAUGCCCUGGCAGUCAGAGGCGAUGAAGGACGUGCUAAUCUGCGAAAAGCGUCGGUAAGGUGAUAUGAACCGUUAUAACCGGCGAUGUCCGAAUGGGGAAACCCAGUGCAAUUCGUUGCACUAUCGUUAACUGAAUACAUAGGUUAACGAGGCGAACCGGGGGAACUGAAACAUCUAAGUACCCCGAGGAAAAGAAAUCAACCGAGAUUCCCCCAGUAGCGGCGAGCGAACGGGGAGCAGCCCAGAGUCUGAAUCAGCUUGUGUGUUAGUGGAACGGUCUGGAAAGUCCGACGGUACAGGGUGAUAGUCCCGUACACCAAAAUGCACAGGUUGUGAACUCGAAGAGUAGGGCGGGACACGUGGUAUCCUGUCUGAAUAUGGGGGGACCAUCCUCCAAGGCUAAAUACUCCUGACUGACCGAUAGUGAACCAGUACCGUGAGGGAAAGGCGAAAAGAACCCCGGCGAGGGGAGUGAAAAAGAACCUGAAACCGUGUACGUACAAGCAGUGGGAGCACCUUCGGGUGUGACUGCGUACCUUUUGUAUAAUGGGUCAGCGACUUAUAUUCUGUAGCAAGGUUAACCGUAUAGGGGAGCCGCAGGGAAACCGAGUCUUAACUGGGCGUUAAGUUGCAGGGUAUAGACCCGAAACCCGGUGAUCUAGCCAUGGGCAGGUUGAAGGUUGGGUAACACUAACUGGAGGACCGAACCGACUAAUGUUGAAAAAUUAGCGGAUGACUUGUGGCUGGGGGUGAAAGGCCAAUCAAACCGGGAGAUAGCUGGUUCUCCCCGAAAGCUAUUUAGGUAGCGCCUCGUGAACUCAUCUUCGGGGGUAGAGCACUGUUUCGGCUAGGGGGUCAUCCCGACUUACCAACCCGAUGCAAACUACGAAUACCGAAGAAUGUUAUCACGGGAGACACACGGCGGGUGCUAACGUCCGUCGUGAAGAGGGAAACAACCCAGACCGCCAGCUAAGGUCCCAAAGUCAUGGUUAAGUGGGAAACGAUGUGGGAAGGCACAGACAGCCAGGAUGUUGGCUUAGAAGCAGCCAUCAUUUAAAGAAAGCGUAAUAGCUCACUGGUCGAGUCGGCCUGCGCGGAAGAUGUAACGGGGCUAAACCAUGCACCGAAGCUGCGGCAGCGACACUAUGUGUUGUUGGGUAGGGGAGCGUUCUGUAAGCCUGCGAAGGUGACCUGUGAGGGUUGCUGGAGGUAUCAGAAGUGCGAAUGCUGACAUAAGUAACGAUAAAGCGGGUGAAAAGCCCGCUCGCCGGAAGACCAAGGGUUCCUGUCCAACGUUAAUCGGGGCAGGGUGAGUCGACCCCUAAGGCGAGGCCGAAAGGCGUAGUCGAUGGGAAACAGGUUAAUAUUCCUGUACUUGGUGUUACUGCGAAGGGGGGACGGAGAAGGCUAUGUUAGCCGGGCGACGGUUGUCCCGGUUUAAGCAUGUAGGCUGGUUAUCCAGGCAAAUCCGGAUAAUCAAGGCUGAGGUGUGAUGACGAGGCACUACGGUGCUGAAGUAACAAAUGCCCUGCUUCCAGGAAAAGCCUCUAAGCAUCAGGUAACAUUAAAUCGUACCCCAAACCGACACAGGUGGUCAGGUAGAGAAUACCAAGGCGCUUGAGAGAACUCGGGUGAAGGAACUAGGCAAAAUGGUGCCGUAACUUCGGGAGAAGGCACGCUGGUGUGUAGGUGAAGCCCCUGCGGGUGGAGCUGAGACCAGUCGAAGAUACCAGCUGGCUGCAACUGUUUAUUAAAAACACAGCACUGUGCAAACACGAAAGUGGACGUAUACGGUGUGACGCCUGCCCGGUGCCGGAAGGUUAAUUGAUGGGGUUAUCCGUAAGGAGAAGCUCUUGAUCGAAGCCCCGGUAAACGGCGGCCGUAACUAUAACGGUCCUAAGGUAGCGAAAUUCCUUGUCGGGUAAGUUCCGACCUGCACGAAUGGCGUAAUGAUGGCCAGGCUGUCUCCACCCGAGACUCAGUGAAAUUGAACUCGCUGUGAAGAUGCAGUGUACCCGCGGCAAGACGGAAAGACCCCGUGAACCUUUACUAUAGCUUGACACUGAACAUUGAGCCUUGAUGUGUAGGAUAGGUGGGAGGCUUUGAAGCGUGGACGCCAGUCUGCGUGGAGCCAACCUUGAAAUACCACCCUUUAAUGUUUGAUGUUCUAACGUUGGCCCCUGACCGGGGUUGCGGACAGUGUCUGGUGGGUAGUUUGACUGGGGCGGUCUCCUCCCAAAGCGUAACGGAGGAGCACGAAGGUUAGCUAAUCCUGGUCGGACAUCAGGAGGUUAGUGCAAUGGCAUAAGCUAGCUUGACUGCGAGCGUGACGGCGCGAGCAGGUGCGAAAGCAGGUCAUAGUGAUCCGGUGGUUCUGAAUGGAAGGGCCAUCGCUCAACGGAUAAAAGGUACUCCGGGGAUAACAGGCUGAUACCGCCCAAGAGUUCAUAUCGACGGCGGUGUUUGGCACCUCGAUGUCGGCUCAUCACAUCCUGGGGCUGAAGUAGGUCCCAAGGGUAUGGCUGUUCGCCAUUUAAAGUGGUACGCGAGCUGGGUUUAGAACGUCGUGAGACAGUUCGGUCCCUAUCUGCCGUGGGCGCUGGAGAAUUGAGGGGGGCUGCUCCUAGUACGAGAGGACCGGAGUGGACGCAUCACUGGUGUUCGGGUUGUCAUGCCAAUGGCACUGCCCGGUAGCUAAAUGCGGAAGAGAUAAGUGCUGAAAGCAUCUAAGCACGAAACUUGCCCCGAGAUGAGUUCUCCCUGAGACUUUAAGUCUCCUGAAGGAACGUUAAAGACGAUGACGUUGAUAGGCCGGGUGUGUAAGCGCAGCGAUGCGUUGAGCUAACCGGUACUAAUGAACCGUGAGGCUUAACCUU
rnacentral:rRNA from 1 species